rnacentral:rRNA from 1 species
GUCAGCUCGUGUCGUGAGAUGUUGGUUAAGUCCCGCAACGAGCGCAACCCUACUUGUUAGUUGCCAUCAUUCAGUUGGGUCACUCUAGCGAGACUGCCGGUAAUAAACCGGAGGAAGGUGGGGAUGACGUCAAAUCAUCAUGCCCCUUAUGACCUGGGCUACACACGUGCUACAAUGGUUGGUACAACGAGUUGCGAGUCGGUGACGGCGAGCUAAUCUCUUAAAGCCAAUCUCAGUUCGGAUUGUAGGCUGCAACUCGCCUACAUGAAGUCGGAAUCGCUAGUAAUCGCGGAUCAGCACGCCGCGGUGAAUACGUUCCCGGGCCUUGU